CUUGUAUGACUACUUGCUUGCCCAGAAGAUUAAAAUAAGUGAAAGUAAGAAAACUUUUAAUGAAUAUGAAAAUUUCCGGGGAAGCUACAUGCUAAAGAAGCUAAAUCCUGCAAGUGGGUGGGCAUAUCAAUAUAUCAUAAAAAUAUUAAUUGGGUAAAGAAACUGAAGUUGGCUUGAGAAACAAGGGAAACACAUCAUCGAGAUUCGAGAAGAGGUACGGCAAUGUUGGAAGUGUGAAACCAGGACUAAUUAAGAACAACUUGUAUCAGGAUUAUAUUGAUUUCGCCUUUAAUUUGGGUUAAGCUCCUUGGACAAGGGAUUAAGGUUGUGACAAAGACAGUACACCAAGUGCAGAUAUUUUCUUGCAUCAUUGUCCUGAAAAAGAAUGAGGGAAUGAAAUGGAAAGGAGAUGAAAGAACAGUAAUGUUCAAGUCGCCUUUGUCUCCCCAACACAAUUUUAACUCCCUCUCUAUAAUUCCUUCCAACCUUUCACCUACCAUAUGACUAAACCCGCAUCUCCCCAGAUGGGGUGGCUUCACUCCCUCAUCUCCCCCAUGAAGAAGUUCUGGGAUCGUCUGCACUUCGGCCACAGAAAGCGUAGAGGAAUAUACAUUCUGUACAAGGAUGUGAAGUCUUGCCCAUGUGAAGAUGUGCAUGUCCUGUGGUCAAUUCUGGUUGAGUCUCAUCAACCAGCUUCUUUGCCAUCGAAAUGAUAUACACUCAAAUGAAGCUGGGUUUGGCUAGAUGGAAUCCAUGUACAAAAAAGUCAUGAAGCAGGUAAAUGGGCAAGUAUAUAAAUGGUCUGCCUUGCCAUUUGUCAAUAUGGUUGCCAAUAAUACUGCUCUAUAUACGUGUGUACAUAGAUACAUAUGUACAGCACUGCAUUAUACAUACUCAGAAAAAUCAAGUUUUCCUUAUUGUACAAAUUGAAUAAUGUGAAGACUAGAAUGUGUUGUUUAAUAUACACUGCUCGUUUCGUUUCUUCAGCAA